CGAAGCAGAACAGAUGGCCGCCCUUCGCGUGCGGGGGGAGGAAAGUCCGGGCUCCACAGGGCAUGGUGCUGGAUAACGUCCAGCGGGGGCGACCCCAGGGAUAGUGCCACAGAGAGAAGUCCGCCCGCUCAGGCGGGUAAGGGUGAAAGGGUGAGGUAAGAGCUCACCGGGUUCGGCGGUGACGUCGGAUGCCAGGUAAACCCCACCAGGAGCAAGGCCGAAUAGGGAAGCGUCAAGGAUGGCCCGUCCGUGCUUCCGGGUUGGCUGCUUGAGGCCGUCGGUAACGGCGGUCCCAGAGGAAUGGUCAUCGCCCGCCAAGGGGUAACCCGCGGCGGGAACAGAACCCGGCUUAUGGGCUGCUUCGACCA
rnacentral:RNase_P_RNA from 18 species